rnacentral:rRNA from 1 species
GACGAACGCUGGCGGCGUGCUUAACACAUGCAAGUCGAACAGAAAGGCCCUGCUUGCAGGGUACUCGAGUGGCGAACGGGUGAGUAACACGUGGGUGAUCUGCCCUGGACUUCGGGAUAAGCCUGGGAAACUGGGUCUAAUACCGGAUAGGAGUCAUUUUUAGUGUGAUGGUUGGAAAGUUUGUUCGGUGUAGGAUGAGCUCGCGGCCUAUCAGCUUGGUGGUGGGGUAAUGGCCUACCAAGGCGGCGACGGGUAGCCGGCCUGAGAGGGUGGACGGCCACAUUGGGACUGAGAUACGGCCCAGACUCCUACGGGAGGCAGCAGUGGGGAAUAUUGCACAAUGGGCGCAAGCCUGAUGCAGCGACGCCGCGUGGGGGAUGACGGCCUUCGGGUUGUAAACUCCUUUCGCUAGGGACGAAGCUUUUUGUGACGGUACCUAGAUAAGAAGCACCGGCUAACUACGUGCCAGCAGCCGCAGUAA